rnacentral:rRNA from 1 species
UACAGAGGUCCCGAGCGUUGUUCGGAAUUACUGGGCGUAAAGCGUGCGCAGACGGUUGCGUAAGUCAGAUGUGAAAGCCCCGGGCUCAACCUGGGAAUUGCAUUUGAGACUGCGUAGCUAGGGUGCGGAAGAGGGAAGCGGAAUUUCCGGUGUAGCGGUGAAAUGCGUAGAUAUCGGAAGGAACACCAGUGGCGAAAGCGGCUUCCUGGUCCAGCACCGACGUUCAGGCACGAAAGCGUGGGGAGCAAACAGG